rnacentral:rRNA from 1 species
UGAGGGAUGACGGCCUUCGGGUUGUAAACCUUUUUAGCAGGGAAGAAGCGAAAGUGACGGUACCUGCAGAAAAAGCGCCGGCUAACUACGUGCCAGCAGCCGCGGUAAUACGUAGGGCGCAAGCGUUAUCCGGAAUUAUUGGGCGUAAAGAGCUCGUAGGCGGUUUGUCGCGUCUGCUGUGAAAUCCCGAGGCUCAACCUCGGGCCUGCAGUGGGUACGGGCAGACUAGAGUGCGGUAGGGGAGAUUGGAAUUCCUGGUGUAGCGGUGGAAUGCGCAGAUAUCAGGAGGAACACCGAUGGCGAAGGCAGAUCUCUGGGCCGUAACUGACGCUGAGGAGCGAAAGGGUGGGGAGCAAACAGGCUUAGAUACCCUGGUAGUCCACCCCGUAAACGUUGGGAACUAGUUGUGGGGUCCAUUCCACGGAUUCCGUGACGCAGCUAACGCAUUAAGUUCCCCGUGGAGUACGGCCGCAAGGCUAAAACUCAAAGGAAUUGACGGGGACCCGCACAAGCGGCGGAGCAUGCGGAUUAAUUCGAUGCAACGCGAAGAACCUUACCAAGGCUUGACAUAUACGAGAACGGGCCAGAAAUGGUCAACUCUUUGGACACUCGUAAACAGGUGGUGCAUGGUUGUCGUCAGCUCGUGUCGUGAGAUGUUGGGUUAAGUCCCGCAACGAGCGCAACCCUCGUUCUAUGUUGCCAGCACGUAAUGGUGGGAACUCAUGGGAUACUGCCGGGGUCAACUCGGAGGAAGGUGGGGAUGACGUCAAAUCAUCAUGCCCCUUAUGUCUUGGGCUUCACGCAUGCUACAAUGGCCGGUACAAAGGGCUGCAAUACCGUGAGGUGGAGCGAAUCCCAAAAAGCCGGUCCCAGUUCGGAUUGAGGUCUGCAACUCGACCUCAUGAAGUCGGAGUCGCUAGUAAUCGCAGAUCAGCAACGCUGCGGUGAAUACGUUCCCGGGUCUUGUACACACCGCCCGUCAAGUCAUGAAAGUCGGUAACACCUGAAGCCGGUGGCCUAACCCUUGUGGAGGGAGCCGUCGAAGGUGGGAUCGGUAAUUAGGACUAAGU